AACUGGGGAUAAUUCCGGAUAACGCAUAUUUGCUGGAAUGCUUUAUGCGUCAAAAGGAUUCGUCUGCCCAAGGAUGGGUCUGCGGCCUAUCAGGUAGUAGUGGGUGUAAUGUACCUACUAGCCAGCGACGGGUACGGGUUGUGAGAGCAAGAGCCCGGAGAUGGAUUCUGAGACAUGAAUCCAGGCCCUACGGGGCGCAGCAGGCGCGAAAACUUUACAAUGCGGGAAACCGUGAUAAGGGGACACCGAGUGCCAGCAUCAUAUGCUGGCUGUCCGGAUGUGUAAAAUACAUCCGUUAGCAAGGGCCGGGCAAGACCGAUGCCAGCCGCCGCGGUAACACCGGCGGCCCGAGUGGUGAUCGUGAUUAUUGGGCCUAAAGGGUCCGUAGCCGGUUUGGUCAGUCCUCCGGGAAAUCUGAUAGCUCAACUAUUAGGCUUUCGGGGGAUACUGCCAGACUUGGAACCGGGAGAGGUAAGAGGUACUACAGGGGUAGGAGUGAAAUCUUGUAAUCCCUGUGGGACCACCUGUGGCGAAGGCGUCUUACCAGAACGGGUUCGACGGUGAGGGACGAAAGCUGGGGGAGCAAACCGGAUUAGAUACCCGGGUAGUCCCAGCCGUAAACUAUGCGCGUUAGGUGUGUCGGUAACCACGCGUUACUGAUGCGCCGAAGAGAAAUCGUGAAACGCACCACCUGGGAAGUACGGUCGCAAGGCUGAAACUUAAAGGAAUUGGCGGGGGGAGCACAAGGG
rnacentral:rRNA from 1 species